GAACGAGGUGUUUACGGUAUCUGAACGCAUCCCUCGCGACCCUCCAGUGUACAAGUUAAAAGAUUACGAUGGAGAACCCAUCCAAGGGUCAUUUUAUGAGCCAGAGCUACAAAAGGUAACGAUGGGGGAAGACAGACUUUUCCACGUAGAAAAGAUUCUGAAGCAUCGCGUCGUCAGGGGUGAAAAGCAAGUCUUUGUAAGUUGGAAAAACUGGCCGGAGAAAUUCAACAGCUGGAUCAAAGCCGCAGAUUUAAAGAACGUAUAAAAAUCAACUCGCGAUCGCAACGGAUAUCAUUUCAUCAUGUACGGUCCGAAGGACGAGGGUUUUUUUAUUACCCUACCCUCCAACGCCAGCGUCGAUGUUUUUAAAGAAAACACGAGUUCCAGUUACCGCGUGGAUUUGCCUCAACAUAUCGAUUUAGAGGGAAGCUGGGAAGUAGCUUUAACGCAGAUUUCAUACCCGCACACCUUUUAUCACCUUUCUCAGGAGGAUGCCUACUUUUACUGGAGGGAAAACCCUCAAGAACCGGCCACGGAGAGCAAGGUGCAUCGUCAAGAGAUGAAACAAUCAUAUUUCAACGGCUUCUCAGCCUUUAGAUUCGAGAUGGACGGACAAUUUAGAAGAAUAAAGUCUGAUAUUUACCUCGUCUAUGACAGUCUUCUGAAAAGAUUUGAUUUCCAAUCGGGAGGUAAAACCCACGUACUCUUCGAAGGACCCCUGGCAUAUUUGAUGGGUAUGAAAUCAGGGGAAUGGUUUACGUUUGACCAAAGGUAUGCGUACUAUCCCUGCGAUUUACGAGCUGGGUUUUAUCACAUGUAUUGUUACAGCGACGUAGUUGCACCGCAGAUGGUCGGCGACGUUUAUGCGCCACUUUUGAGAACGAUUGAUGUAAAAGGAACGUUCGGUGAAAUCGUCACACAGUAUUUCAAUCCUGCUUACUAUUUACCGGUGUCCAAAAACCACAUUGAAAACAUUCAGGUGGAGAUAAAAACGGAUCAAAACAAACCGGUAAAAUUUUCAUACGGC
rnacentral:lncRNA from 1 species